rnacentral:rRNA from 1 species
UACGAAGGGGGCUAGCGUUGCUCGGAAUCACUGGGCGUAAAGGGUGCGUAGGCGGGUCUUUAAGUCAGGGGUGAAAUCCUGGAGCUCAACUCCAGAACUGCCUUUGAUACUGAAGAUCUUGAGUUCGGGAGAGGUGAGUGGAACUGCGAGUGUAGAGGUGAAAUUCGUAGAGAUCCGGAGGAACACCGACGGCGUAGGCAGCGCCCUGGCUGUGAAUAAAGCUGACACUGAGGCACGAAAGCUGGGGGAGCAAACAGG